GCCACGGUGGUCUAGCGGUUAGAACGCUGGCCUUGUAAUCCUGGGGCUCUCGGGUUCGAUUCCCGGCGGUGCCC
rnacentral:tRNA from 1 species